GGUGGCGUAUAGAAUUCCCUAGAAUCCCCCUACCUCUAUCGAAUUAAGCGCGUAUCAGCUACUACAGCUCGGACUAGAAGCAGUUGAUGCGGGCAUGCGCAGAUUAGUAUAUAUAAUCUUUUAUAUAACCCUAUUUAAAUACUGACAACGUGACGUGACGACUGAUAUAUUUAACGUACCGAUAUUUUUUUAUUUUAAACAUACAGAUAAUCACAGAUACGUACAAUGGACAAAGUCGACAAAGUUGAAUUCCCCGUAUUAGUGGAUAACGAAAUGAUCACUGUUUCUCGAAAAAGAGAUCGCGUUAAGAGCAUCGAAAGAUCAAGAUUUCUUGAUAAAAUAUAGACUCACUACUACUACUGCUACUGCUGCUGCUAAUUCUGUUGUCAUCAUUCACUAAUGAAAAUAAGGCUAUUGUUGUCAAUGUGUUUCGAUGUCCAUUGUGACCAUGGUAGCAUCCAUUUUUCCUUUCACAUCAAACGCAUCAAAAGUCGUUCCGUUUCCAAAAGCGCAUAGGCGCAUUAACGAAAACGGAACGAUAUCAAUGCGCGCAACGCAUUGGUUGCGAUCGAUGUGCUCGAUGCGUGAAACGGAACGCAGCCCUAGUAUAUCCAGAGAGAAACCUGAGAGCGGUCAUCAGCGAAGGUUCAGAAAUUUUUAUUAGAGUACCUCUAGUAAGAGUACAGACACCGUCCCUAUGGCAGCCAUGUUUGGGUCCAGAAAACCGGAAAUUCAUCUGUAUGCGCGGAAUGUUUAAAUUCUGCUAAAAGAGAUACCAAGCAAGAUAUUUAAAUUUAAUUUUGAUGACUUAUGAAAUGACAUAUAUGUUACUAUAAUUGUAAGAUAGGACUUAUAAAAUUGAAGUAGAAAUAUAAUUGA